rnacentral:siRNA from 1 species
GUUCGCGGUGGUCUAGGCAGUAG